rnacentral:rRNA from 1 species
UACAGAGGGUGCAAGCGUUAAUCGGAAUUACUGGGCGUAAAGCGCACGUAGGUGGCUGGGUAAGUUGGAUGUGAAAUCCCCGGGCUUAACUUGGGAAUUGCAUUCAAGACUGCCUUGCUAGAGUCCGGAAGAGGAGAGUGGAAUUCCUGGUGUAGCGGUGAAAUGCGCAGAUAUCAGGAAGAACACCCGUGGCUAAGGCGGCUCUCUAGUACGGUACUGACGCUGAGACGCGAAAGCGUGGGGAGCGAACAGG